UUUGAAGCUGCAUACUCCCGAGACAUAAAUUAAUUCCAAAAAAAAUCUUUCAACGUAUAAUUGUUUCAUUUAAUGUUUUGAUAAAGUGCCAAAAUCUACUAAACGCAUUGAAUCAGACUAAAUGAGUACUUAAAUGACAUGGUAUUAAUUUUAAUUAUUAUAGUUUGUCGAGCUUCAUCAAAAAAAAUAAAUCACACACAUGAUUGCAUCUAAAAUUAUCCGACAUUGUUUGUGCCAACUAUUGCAAUCGCAGCCCAACAGGAGAGUUUUUUUUUGCAUCAGUCAGUAAUUCGCGAGUGUUAUGACGAUGUGUUCGGACUCAACGUAAUUUUAUUUUCCUGUAUUAAUAUUGCGUCGAGAUGUUCACAUACACUUUUUAUUUUCAACGAAUUCUUAUUUACUUAAGCUUAGAAUGAAUUUACUUUCGAUUCUCGUGUUUGAAUGAAUUACGUGUUAAUUGAUAGGAUAGUAAAAUUCGUACGUUUAAAAUUUUAAAAAAAUCGACGAAACAAUAAUUUUUUUCAAUUAGCAAUUUCAGUAUUUAUUUUUCUCAACAAGUAAUUUUCACGUCACGGAGACUCUCGAUAAUGGCUGUUUAGGUGGCAGAAAAACACUCGCAACAAAAAUGAACUAAAUUGUACGAGCUAAGUACUUACAGACAGAUUUUACGAUCGUUUUAGUGUCUCUGAGAGGUCAAAAUUCGGUAAAAACUCACCAAAUAAUAGCGCAAAUACUUUCAUUUCUUGUGAUAUUGAAUCCUUUUGUUUCAGAAAACAUUAUUUUAAAACACGAAUUCACUAAAGGCGAUCAAAUUGCAAAAAUUACGCUCAAAUUCACUCGUCAAACAAACUUACUGAGUGUAUUACUAAUCUAGUACACUCGAUCGGUGUAUGGUGUAAAAAGGUUCUCUCCGGUGAGAGUACCAGUCAUAUUCAAUGAUACGAUCUUACCUUUGGGUGGAAUGGGACACCAUCCCAUCCCUUGUGAGUAGAUCACUAAUCCUUCUCACCAAACUGGCCUUAAUCCUAAAUAACACUAAUUAAACUAAACUAAACCGAGUACUAAACAUAAACACUUAACACUGGAGAGUAAAACUUAUAUAGGUACUAAAUGAAGAAUUAACCGAUUAGCAGAUGAAUAACAUGCCCGCGUGCACUGGAACACAUUACUGACGUUUCCUACACUCGUAGCUCAGCUCAAGCGGCCAGCUUACAAAUACAGAACGCAGUGUUGCCAGUACAAUGCAGUGUUACCAGGUGGGUUCCCCUAUACAUGUAACAUACGGCAUAGUAGUAUAUCACAAUACCAUAUAUAUUUUCAUUGUGAAAUUCAGUUUUGGUCCGUAAUUGGUUUGAUCUGAAAUUGGUAGCUAAUUUUUUUCUCCUAUGAAUUUUUCAAUUUCAAAGGGGUUGUCAGGUACCAAUUACCGACCAGUCCACAAUUGGUAGUUUUUCAACUUCAAUAUUUGAAGCACGGAAAUACAAUGUCGGCUAAGCACCAUUCACGUUUUUUAUGGGAGAGCGUAAACGCGUUCGCAUAACAGGUACAUCUUAUAGAAAACGCUAUCUCUCGGUGUUCCAUAGUACAACUUUAGCCGACAUUGUAUUUCCGUGCUUCAUUUGUGAAUUUUGAUGAUGAAAAUUUUCUAAUGUGGUUCUCAGGGUACUAUAACUGGUCUCAGAGUGAAAAAAAAUUAAACGCUUCCGUUCAUGUUUGCAUGAUUUUUAAUUGGUACCUCUUCAAAAACUGCCUUUUUUUAGACGGUAUUUCAAAUAGGAAUUCGGGAAAUGAAAAUUACUUUUUUUCAAAACUGAACACCUUGAAGUGAAAGAGGAAGCGUCAAAGAUUAUUUUUAAAAAAAUCAAAAUUGAGUUAUGAAUGAUGUUUUGACGAUUAAUUGUAAAAAAGUGGUCCAUUGGUAGUUUACCUUACACGAUAUUUACCUUUUUUUGAGAAUUACCCAUCCAUUUAUUUAUUUCGUUGUAAAUACAGGUAAUUCGUCUCAUAGAGAUACGUUGUAUUCGUCAAGUCAAUUAAGAUCGAAGAUGAUUUUGUAAUAUUUUUAUACUUGUGAUUCCGAUUUUCGAAUAUUCUAACUAAUGUUCGGAUCGCGCUAACGUUCGCAUUAUGGCGAUUUUCUACCGUUUUUAUUUCCUGUACACAUUUGUUCUUUUGUAGAUAUGUUUAAAUACAUCAUUUUAUUUCGAAGUGCGCUUCAUAUUUUAUUAUGUACGUGCUAGGGGCAUACAGUGACAUCUCCAUCAGUUGUUCAGCUUUGUAUUUGAUGUCUACCUACUUACCUACUACAUAUUUAUAUCUAAACAGAAAAUCCAAACAGCAAGAUGUGUUUCUCACUUCUUCACAAGUUUUUUCAUCUCUAAGUACCUAUUUUCGUUAUUGUGCCAAGUUUUUCCCUGAUUUCGAUGGCUUGUCGAGUUCGCUACGUAGGUAACCUCUUGGAUGACUUCCCUAGGAUAGACCGUGAUGAUACCUAGGUACCGGCUAAUAUAGAUGGAAGUAUACGCUAUCUCCUGUAAAGGAGUGCAACUACGACGACGACGAGACAUUUCAUAGGAUAUUUACGAAUUGAGAAGGAGCUUUGGAUAUACGCUGAUCGGAAUCGAGAUGGAUACUCAAGUUUUUAAGAAGCAUGAAGAAGUAAGUUCGCUACGAUUCACAUACAUCCCUCCGGCUUCACAGGUGACUUCUUAGAAGACUUCCAUAAGAUAGACACUGAUGAUGAUGGGCAUCUCUCGUUCACGGAGGUGCGGCACGCGGAAAACCAAUGUUUAAUUUAAGAUUUCCCUUAAAUUUUUCCACAUGUCAGCGAGGGCGUUAGACAUUAUUGCUACCAUAUUAAGGUUCCGAAGUGUUUAUUAGUCUAUGUAUUACACAAUUCUUAUGAAUUACCUACC